GAAGAUAUCAGUCCAAGAAUCAAAUUAUAGUUGCACGUUACCAUCUAGAUUCUUGAAAAAAAUAAUUCAUUCACAACACAAAUAUUAUCAUGAUUAUCCAUGAUUGACUCAUAUUGAGUGAGCAACAAGUUGUAUAUCUACUACAUGCGUCAUCACAGGUCCAUAUAGGUUCCACCAUAUGUUCCAUCAUAGACUCCAUCACAAGUUCCAUCUCAUACUCCACCA
rnacentral:lncRNA from 1 species